ensembl:snRNA RNU6-863P RNA, U6 small nuclear 863, pseudogene
AUGCUUGCUUCAGUAGCACGUAUACUACAGUUGGAACAAUAGGGAGAUUGGCAUGGCCUCUGUGCAAGAACGACAUGCAAGUUUCUGAAUCAUUCCAUAUUUUU